GGUUUCUGGGCCCUCACCUGUCUAUUGUGUGGGUCCAGGUGGCUCUUUCCAAUCAAAGAAUAAAAUGAUUCUCCUGACUCAGGUGACUUAUCUGGGAGAAGCCAACAUUUUAAUGUCAAAGUAUAGGUUUACCUUCAGGUAGGGCCAGGACAAGGGUGCAAACUUUCAAGAGGUACAUACUCUUGGGUCUGGCAAAUCUCACUGUGGCAGCUGUUGACACCCAGUCACGCCUGUUCUUAAGAGCCUGGGUUCCACGGG
rnacentral:lncRNA from 1 species